CAGAGCUGCAAGAGAAGACCCUCCCAGGCAAGAAAGCAAAGGAGGUGGUGGAGGCUUAAGAUUGCAAUUCCUGGGAGAUAGAAUCUGCAUGUUCAUGACCGCUGGUGGCCUAAUCCCUGCAGAUGAGGUGUUAGGAUUAGCCUGGUUUGGUCAUAUUCUGUCCGCCUGGAAG